UACGGGAUAAUAUAUUUGAGAGGCAUCUCUUGAAUAUCAAAGGUGAGCCAGUACAGGAUGGACCCGCGUCUGAUUAGCUAGUUGGUAAGGUAACGGCUUACCAAGGCGACGAUCAGUAGCCGACCUGCGAGGGUGAUCGGCCACAUUGGAACUGAGACACGGUCCAAACUCCUACGGGAGGCAGCAGUGGGGAAUAUUGCACAAUGGGCGAAAGCCUGAUGCAGCAACGCCGCGUGAGUGAUGAAGGCCUUCGGGUCG
rnacentral:rRNA from 1 species